GGAGGGGUUCCCGAGCGGCCAAAGGGAGCAGACUGUAAAUCUGCCGGCGAUGCCUUCGCAGGUUCGAAUCCUGCCCCCUCCACCA
rnacentral:tRNA from 1 species